UGUUCUUAGUCUGAUGACAUCAGUAUGUAUAAUCCAUCAAAUGCCUGUGUAGGCAUCUCACAUGUAUCGUGUGAUCAAUUUUGUACUUGACACGCCCACCUCUUAACUUGACACAGGAUAACCUUGGAUCAAGUAUAAGACUCGGACUCUCGUGUCGUUCUUGCUUAUCCAUUAGCAAAUAUGGAGGGGGUAAUGAAUUACCUCAGAAAAAAAGGGUUUCUGUUCUUCACUGAUAUAUUGAGGUAUGAUGCUUAGCUCUAAGGAAAAUGGGUUGUCAGUUUUCUCGAGAAAUUGUCGUAAGAGACUCCAGACUUGUAUUUGCAUAUGUCAAUAUUCUGUUAUACUGUUCAAUUAUAUUGCCCGUAGGGCGAUGCUCCUCUUCUCCCGUUUUGCAGAUGGGAGAAAACACAAGAUUUACGAUUUCUGAAUGAAAAAAUAAAAAAAAAUGCGGACAGGAGAAAACACAGGGUUUGUGUAUUCAUGGUCAAUUUUGCCAUAAUAAAAGAUACUUGGAUCUAGGGGUGAAAACGGAUCAGAUAAUAUUCGAUCCGAUAUGCUCCGAAUCCGUUCAAAAUGAGGAUAUGGUACGUGUUUUUAGAAAUCAGGCGGAAAUGAAUGCGGAUGCGGAUAGUAUAUAUAUGAUGCAGAUAUGGUAUCUCUAAAAUUCGAUGGAUGCAGAUUAUCCGACAUUUCUUUCAAAUUAUCUGAUAGGCCGUUUGCCAGAUAAUCCAAAAUUAUCAACACAUGUAACCACUCUAUCUAUUGCAUAUAACAUGAGCUAGCCCAUUCAAUAGCCUAAUUCAUCAAUUAACCUAAAUUUCUUAGUCUGAGGCUUUCAUCAUCUCAUGUCACACUUGCGUGGCUGUAUUUUUAUAUUAUGAAUAUCAUGUAUUCAUGUUGUUUAGCACUUAAUCAUAUAAUUAUUACGACGGGUUGUUCAUUGAUUAUUUUAUUAUUGCUCCUUGCAUUGCUAACUCGAUGCUGUAUUGAUUGCAUACACAUGUAACAUCCGAUAAAUUUAAUCCAUUUCCAAACUGAUUCUGCACCAUAUCUGACAUCCGAUACAAUCCGCUCCGCAUCCGUAUAUUAUCCGCACUCGCUCCAAAUCCGCUUAAAAAAUAUGGUUUAGGAUAUGGUAUGAUCACUAUAUGUCCGAAUCUGCUAUGUUUUCACCGCUACUUGGAUCCUUUUGAGAUCACCAACUAACUAAAGUUAUCUGCAAAAUAAUAGUACGAGUUUUGAUAAAAAAAAGAAUAGAAAGGAUGAGGAUGGUUUGAGGAUAAGACACAGGGAAGGCUUAACCUCAGAUGACACUUCCAAAUUUCAACGAAUAUGAUUUAACUUGCUGGUUUGGCGAUUAUUCUAGUGUGGCCACCUGAUUUAUUACUGCUGUAACAAAAAUAAAUAUAAUGCAUCAACCAAACCACAACGCGUUUCUCUGUGAGCGCUAGGGAGGCAUCUCGUGUGGCUUAAUCUCUUGCGCUCAUCACACAUCUUCCCUGUCAAAUAGACCACACGCUUGAAAAUUAAACACUAAAUUUUGGUCUAACUUGUGUUCCUGCCUAUUUUAUCCCGAGUUGUUGUUAUCCACCAUAGAAAUGAUUAGCCGCAGCUAAAAAUUGAGCUCCCAAUGCCUCUCUUUCAUAUUGUAUUGCUAUUUCAAGAGUGGUUAUUUCCAUGAUCUCUAGGCCUCUCUUUGUUUCUUCUCGAGUUUUGUGAAUUGCACCCCUUUCAUAACAUGGAAAUAUGGAAUGGAAGAUUCUGACUAUUUAUUGACAGUGUAGUCGUAGAGUGGUAGGUAUGCUGCCAUUAACUCACAAUCAGUGCGAGACAGCCUCUCUCACUCUGAAUUUUGGGUUAACUGAAGAGUGUCGGACAGCUACAGUAAUAUGAAGAAAACUGAAGAACUGAAGAACAGAGAUGCAAGCUCCACCUCUGCUGCAUCAGAACAGAAAAAACAAAACCUACCGACUGAAUUCUAGUACACCAGACUAUUUUCAGCCAACUGAUACAUGCUACGAAAAUCUAACAUGCAGACAACUGAACAAACUAAAUUGGCACGCAAGAUUACACCUUCAACUCCAUGAAGGACUAUCAAGAUGGUUAAUUACUAAAAAUUCAAAUGUAGAUCCCUGGAAUCAUAUCUAACACUGUGAACCUUUUAACUCUUUUAUUGCAUUACCAUGCUGGCUAUUCCUCCUUCUACAAUUAAUGGCAGUAUACCCCUUUGCAAAUUUUCACACAUAUGUUUGUGGCCUGCUGGAGUGGCAAUUGUUCUGGUUUUAAGUUGAAUUAUGGAGCGGUGAGUGAUUACUUCCACAAUAAAGAGAAUAUUGGUGCCAAACUACAUCACCUCCGCUCUGUUCUGCAAUUGAGGUAUGACGUGUCGCUUAAUUGGCUAUCCUCGGUUGUCUUCUCAUCAAUUGAGGAGACCUCACAGUUGACAAUUCACCUGAAAAUGUGGGUUCGAUUGGUGCUCCUUCAUGUUUUAUGUAGAAUCCUACCUAUAUCGUGUUAACAAUUUCUAUCUGCAAGAAGUUGAAUUCCCAAUGCCUUUCUUUCGUACCAGGCCAUGUUAUCUGGAGCACAAUUAACUUUUGAGUUUUAAUAUGUUCUAACUAUCAGGCAAAGCCAUGGUAAUAAAUUUCUCUAAAAAAAAUCCAUUGUCACUGGAUCUUCUUCUUGUGCCAUCCUUAGAGUUCUAUGAAAUGUCACCAACUAGUUACAUAGAAUGGAAGGUUACUGCUGUUUGUGAGGAAUGUGGUGGUAGAGUGGUGGAUACGAUGGAAUUAACUCAACUUACAUUUAUGAAACGAUUGCCCACGGCAAAAAGUUGAAUUCCUA